rnacentral:miRNA from 1 species
AUGUGGCGGGUCAGGGAACUUCCG